rfam:Bacillus okhensis strain Kh10-101 contig59, whole genome shotgun sequence.
CAAUCUCCAGACGAUGAAAGCCCUGCCUCUCGUUCAUCCUUGCGGCUCCUUGACCGCGCCAGCUGAAUGAAAAGCGCUAUCUUUAA